CACAAAGAUUGAGGCAAAGUUGCUUAAUGCUGCACACUUAACUAUCCUUCCAGCAGCACAUAUCCUUUAAGUCCUGUGUUUACUGACAACACAGCAAGCAAAUGCUGUGAAGGUUAAGCUCAGUAGUUAAACAAAAAGUAAUCCUCCUACAUGUUCUUCCAAGGGCAUCAGCAGAUUAUUAGGACAGGAGGAUGGGAGUCUAACAUUAAGUGUUCUCUGGUUCAGUCAAACUGAAAGAGACACAAAAAAUAUUAUUUUCCUCUCUUCUCAAGUAUGACUAUGGUUUUUAUUGGAAUUUUGCAUAUGGUAAUUAUUUGUCUCUAACAAACAAUUCUGAUGGCUUCUUAUCUCUAUGGAAACUAACUAUUGACUGAAUUCUGUCUUAAGGUAUAAUAAGUAUAUUUACUUCUGAUGUUAAUCAUGGGGAAAAAUAUGAUUCUUUUAUAUAAACUCAUGAUCACAAAAGAAAGAUCAUAGGAUUAAUUAUCCAGAUGACCCAUGCAGAUUUCAUUCACCAAGUUCUUUAGCAGAAUAAGACAUUCUUCCAUAGUAAUAUCAUGGUGUGAAGGUUUAGUUGCAGGGUCUCUUAAUGUAAUAAAAUAGGAGAGAGUAUAUUUUGAGGAAAAUUAAAAACUUGUGUUUAUAGUUUGGCCUUAACUAGUUAAAAUAUGUAGGUCGAAAUUACUUUUGUAAAAAUAAAGGCCUCUAUGCCAAAGACAAGAAGAUUUAUUAAGAAAGAAAUGUAUGUUGUUAUCCAUUUCAUUACUAGCAUUUGUGGUGAAUAUUUAUAGCAAGAUACCUCCUGCCUUGAGGAUACUUUUAAAGUGCCCAUGUUAAAAUGACUUAUUAGCAUACUUAGUCCUUAUUAGUAUACUUCUGCUAAGGACUGCGCUGCAAAACAAUAGGACUUUCAGCUAAAGUUAUUCAUAAUAGCCAACAAUCAGAGACACAAUACUUUGUCUGUUUCUAGGAAAUUAGUAAACAGGCUGUUGUUAACCAAGGAAGAGGAAAUUAUUUCAGCAACGAGGGAAAUUAUACCACAGCCACUGAAUCCCAAAGAAAUUAAUUCAGAUGCAUUAGUAAAAUCAUGCAUUUUUAAGUCAGCUGUAGCAAUAUAUGAAAACGUACUAACAGAGAGAAAUGUAAAAGUGGAUUGAAUAUCUUAACAGUUAUUUUAUUUCUAAAUAUGACUUUUUUCUUAUGAUUAUUUACAAAGGAUUCCAUUGAUUCCUUUUGAAUCUCUUUUUCUAGCACUAAUUGCUUGAUCUUUAAUCACCACCCAAAUCAGUCCAGUGCUUAUAUAUGAAACUGAAGUUAAAUCAACACUUUCAGAAAAGCAUAACAUUCAAAUAUUUGCAUUAAUUUAAAAAUAAUAUUAAACCACUAUUUUUCAAAGAAAAAGGUCUUGGUAUUAACCUUGUGAUGUGUAAGUGGUAAUUCAGAUACUGUGUAGUGGUAAGAAAGCAUGUUAACAUUCACAGGUGUUAGAAUGAAUUUACUCUAUCUCUAAUAUUCCUGAAUCUCAUUUUGGUGUAGAUGUCCACCUUUCUUUAAGCAAAACCUAUGCAAGUAAACUGUGAGAAUGCUGAGUAUAGAAAAUAAAAUCAUCAUCAUAUAUUUAAAGAAAAAUUAUCUUGCCCUUGAUUCAAGCAACUACAAGAUUGUUAUUCAAUAAACCUUUUCUCACUGGCAGUUCUAUUAUAUUUAACAGGGUUUUCAUCUAGGUGACACCUUUUUCUGUAAUACUAUUUUUGUAUCAUCACCAUAUCAUCUCAUGCAAGAGUGGGUAAUGGAAAUUAAUAUUGUAGUGAUACAAGUGACACUAAUUGGACUUGCUUACUUCACUAUUAUUGAGGAAAGAGGGUUGUCUAAAAUGUGUUUAGAAGGCUUGCAGGAGAAACAAAUACAAUACAUCAUGAAUGCAUUUGUCUAAGUUACUAAUAAUUUCUUUUCUGGCUUUGCAGAAUGUUAUUAAAAUACCUUAGUAUAUGGUGCAUAAAAUUGCAGGUUUUUAUGGAAUUUAUGAGAAAUAAGAAAAACAAAAGAUUAAUGAGAAAGGCAAAAAGUGGGGGCAUUAGAAGAUGAGUGUGUGAUCACCACAUGAGGAAAUAAAAAUUCAACAUCAUCUUGAGUGGCAUACACUUAAAAGUAACUUUUUUCAUUGUAGUUGCUGUCUUGAAAAUGCUGGAAAAUUUGCAGAAGAUUUACCAAUUUGCAGAAUAUUUGUCUUUUCCAUUUAUCAUAGUCAAGAAUAAAAUAAUCUUCCCUGGAUACAGCUAAAGGGAUGACCUAAUAAGGUACUAGAUAGAUCAUUUUAUUUGCUACUGAUUUUAUUGUUAGCUAAACCAUUUCUGCAGACAAUUCAGCUGAAUUACAGUUUGUUCAAAGUAAACAUGUCUUCAGCCACUGAUACCCAUACGGUCAUUUAAGUGGGUUUCUGAGACUUGAAAUGGUACUUAGGAUAAUAUAUUUCUUUUAAAUAUUUAUGUGCCUAUAGUAUAUUCAAAUUUAGUCUUAAAAUACUAAAAUAUGGAUCUUUUAUUUUAUUAUCUUUUUUAUUUUUAUUUAUAUUUAGUCUUAAACUACUAAAAGGAUCUUUUAUUUGUUCACAGCCUUUUCAGAAAAAAAGCUAUUAUGUAUUUGCUACAAGACAGGUGUUGGAAAUACUUGUAUGUGUAAUGGCAUAUAAUAUUAUUUUUUCAUAAGGUGUGAGUGAAAUAGCUCCAGGCUUUUUUACCCAGAAGUUUUAUUCUCAAAGUACAGUAGCUAUUUCAUUGCUCACUGAGAUUAUAUCAAUGUUAAUGGGAAGUGAGUUAUCCCCCACCUCCUAACCUUGAAAUUUGUGUUGGGAUUUCUAAUUUGGUGCCUUUCAGCAAAUAUUUGGAAGAAAGGCUGAGACUGGAUGAAUCACAGUGGCUCUGCAGAGCCAAAUUAUGUCUAUUUCUAAGUUACUUUUUUUUUUUGUUAGUUUCUGAGUCCCCUGAUUUUGUUUUGUUCUAAUGAAUUUGUGGUUUUUCUAGCCUUUUCAUCUAGUAAUUGAGCUUUGGGAAAGCUAGUAUUUUAUUUUGUUCUGAGUUUAUGCUUGAACUAAAGAGGAUGAGAGAUUGUUCAUGUGUCCACUCCAUUGCACAGCCUCUAGGAAACUUGCAUAAAAGUAAAGUUACUGGAACUUGGAGUAAAUCAAAAAUAAGAAAACCAAAUUAACCGCCUGUGACUGCUAAGCCUCAGGGAACCAGGUCACAAAGAUGCAGAGCCACUAUAAUUGAAGCAAUUGUGUUACAUAGUAUAAACAUAGACCAAUGGGUCUGUAAAAAUGGUUGUCCAUUCAAAAUACCCCCUGUACUGCCACAGUGAGGAGGUUAGAUGUAGAUUUUCCUUUUGCCAUGACUGCAUAAAUAUAUAUAGCAUGACUGGAGUUGAUAAAAUUGAGCACAAAAGGUGAUUUAUAGCUCAUUGUUCAUGCAUUUUGAAGUCUUUAUGUGUGAAAGAGAAGCUGACACUUUCUAAAUGUUAAGCAUGCAAGCAAUGGCUAAGUGCACUGGUACUCCAGCAUUUUGGGAAGCGGUAGCUGGAAACAUCUGCUCUGUUUCUCUUGGAAUGAGAAUGCCAUGAGCCAGUCUGGCACUGCCAGUGCUGAGGCUGUCACACUGUAUAGAGCUAAAAGACCAUGUUGUGGCAGGAAGGAUGAUAGACACAAAAAACAUCACAUGUGCAUUAUCUUUUGAACUUACUGAUUUCCUGUCAAUGAACUAACACCUCAUGGAUUUGGAACUGCUUUUAAAAUGAGUUCAUAUACUUAUCAGAGUUGACAAAAUGACAGGGGAAAGAAAAAUAAUUCCCUGCUGUUCCCUUGAUUUGCUUUCCUAUACUUUGCAUUUCGAUUUCAUAGGUUCAGCUUGGAAGUAGGGCUUUCUUUGAGACUUAAAUCAACAGGCAGUGAAAGAAUGAAAACUAUUGCUUUCAGUAAAAUAUUUCAUUUCUUUUAACAAAAUAAUUAACUACCACUUUACUUUUAGUACCAGUUAGAUUUAACAUUAUUUAUGCUCAAUUAUUCUGCAGAAAAUAUGCUCCUAACCUGCUGACCUAUCAAGCAUUUUGUAUUGGAUGAUUGGCUAUUACUUGCUGCAAAUAUGAUUGAGUGUUACAUGAAUAUUGCAAGCUCUUCAUAUCAUUGUUCAUUGUGCUCAGCAUUUACAGAGUGAGUUUUUUUCUUUUCAGGAGUGAAUGAUUAG
ensembl:lncRNA